GCCUUACGAGCACUAUGAGACAUGCAGGAGAAGAAUGCACUUAGCAACUGCAAUUGCAAAGAAAGGGGGGGGGGGGGCGUUAAAUGUGCAGUGACAUGGCAAAAUCUCUCCUGGGCUUUCCACACACGCCCUUGAGCCCCUAUUCUCCACCCUCAUCCAUGAUGUCAGGAGGUUUUUUUUUUUGUUUCUUUUGGGCUGUGAUGUCUUGACUCAACCCAUUAGUUUAAAUAGUGACACAGUGCACACAGGUGUCACAUCUUUACCUGGGAUCCUGCUCAGAACAUCUCCCUCGCAAGCAGUCCACCUGUACGCCACGCCUGACAGGAUCCUCAUUUCAAGGAACUGCACUGCUUUUCACUUCUUAUCCCUAUUUCUCCCAUCACUGGAACUGAAGAUAGGAUCUACAGCUAUGGACAACAGACUAGUCCUCACAGUCCUGCUCGUGACACUGUCGUGGCUAUCCGUGGGCACCUACGCGCAAAGCACGGCCACGAGCGCAGCACCAGGAAACAACAUGACCACGGCAUCAGGAAACAACAUGACCAUGGCACCAGGAAACAACAUGACCACAGCACAAGUAAACAUGACCGCAGCACCAGUAAACAUGACCACAGCACAAGUAAACAUGACCGCAGCACCAGCGGCUUCCCCACUGACAGCCAACACCACAGUGGAAAAUCUUGAGACAACUAUUAACAGAACAGGAUGUGGGACCGAGCAGCUCUGUGCAGCUGAGCCUGCUUCGUGCGACCCCGCUGUUGCAGGAUCAUGCUUCUUUCUCUCUGCUAGGCAGACGAGCGGUCAAAAUUUUGAGUUUGGGCUCUCAGGAGAGGCAGAUGGCUACAUCGCUGCCACACUGUCAAGUGACAGCAAUUUGGGCGGCAACGACACAACCUACAUCUGUGCGAACAACAACAGUGUUGUGGCAUUCUUUUCUGCUCUCCUCAACAAUGGCAUGCUGACACUGUCAGAGCUGAAUGUGAACAACGUGAGGGGCAGGGUCACUGGAAAUAGGAUCCAGUGUACAUUUGCUGCCACCGUACCAGAUACUAGUGUAACUUCUAGAUCAAACAGAGCAUCAAGUCUAGCACUCGCAAUCUCCACUGGACCUUUCAACAGCACUUCUGGUGCUCUGGGAGCCCCAGCCACCCGACUACAGAGUCCUGUUGUAAACCUGGCCAAUCCUAACACCACCAUCGACAAUCAGGUUCUAAACACUACCAAUGCCACCGCUUCCUCUUCCAACAUGACCACACAAGCUGGAGACAACACGACCACAGCAUCAGCGGCUCCCCCACUGACAUCCAACACCACAGUGGAAAGUCUUGAGACAACUAUUAACAGAACAGGAUGUGGGACCGAGCAGCUCUGUGCAGCUGAGCCUGCUUCGUGCAACCCUGCUGUUGCAGGAUCAUGCUUCUUUCUCUCUGCUAGGCAGAUGAGCGGUCAAAAGUUUGAGUUUGGGCUCUCAGGAGAGGCAGAUGGCUACAUUGCUGCCACACUGUCAAGUGACAGCACAUUGGGCGGCAAUGACCAAACCUUCAUCUGUGCGAACAACAACAGUGUUGUGGCAUUCUUUUCUGCUCUCCUCAACAAUGGCAUGCUGACACUGUCAGAGCUGAAUGUGAACAACGUGAGGGGCAGGGUCACUGGAAAUAGGAUCCAGUGUACAUUCGCUGCCACCGUACCAGAUACUAGUGUAACUUCUAGAUCAAACAGAGCAGCAAGUCUAGCACUCGCAAUCUCCACUGGACCUUUCAACAGCACUUCUGGUGCUCUGGGAGCCCCAACCACCCGACUACUGAGUCCUGUUGUAAACCUGGCCAAUCCUAACACCACCGUCGUCAAUCAGAUUUCGACAACCACCAACGCCCCCACCACUUCCUCUACCACCACUUCCUCUCCCAUCACUUCCACUCCCACCGCUCCCACUCCCACCAUGACCACCAACCACGCCAUCACAUUCCAGCAAUCACUGAUGCAAGCCAUGCUGAUAGCUGCCGGUGUGCUGGCUCUCUUCAUGCUAUGAGGAACCCCUCAUGAGUCAAGACAAGAAACUCGUUAUUGACUUAUUUAAAUAAAUGUCAGUGUUGCCUCUGUAGUCAUUCAGCAGUGGUGAACCCUGCUAUAAUGAAAAAAAUAGAAAUUAAUGUGAUAAAUUAGCCUUCCAUUCCCACCAAACGCUAAUAGGUAUUUAGAUUUAGCUCUCUUCAGCCGAAGUUAAACUGACCCAAAAAUGACUCCCACCCACCACUGUUAACAAAGAAUUACAGGGGAAACAUCACAUGUGUAAUGGAAUAUAGUCUGUUAAGCAUCUCGCAGGAGCUUGAUUAAACACAGUUCAGCCCAGGUUAUCAGGAUUCGUUUUGUAUCAACUCACAGCAGGGAAAGUAGGACUGGUGGAGGGGGGUCACUCUUUGACAGCCUUUCUGCAGACUGCUUUCACAACUGUAACAGGCUCUGAAACAAACAGGUGAAUCCAAUUUGAAGAAUUUUUAAUUGUAACUUGUGUUACUUGUUUUUGAAUGUUUUCUGACCAAAGGACAGCUGGAUUAUUGUCUUAAAAGUUACUGAAUUGCUGGCCAAACAUCUAUGACAGAUGUACAAAUAGCUACAAUUAGACACAAAUGGCAAUUUAAAUUACAAUUACAACCAUAAAGAGCCAUACAGAAAAUUUAGGGUUUGAGGUCUGGUUACCUUUUACUCCCACAUUUAUUAAUGUCAGUAAAAACCUCAUGAUUCGGUAACAAGAUCAGUUGGUAAAUCACAACAGUGCAUUCAUGUCAAAACCUUUUGUCAAAAGCUGAAGUACUAAUGAAGGACUUUUUUGUUAAUCAUGAUGUUCUUUUGUUUCCCUACACAAUGGUUAGAUGUGACUUUUGUAAAGGACCAUAAUUAUUUUUCAUUUUGGGUGUGUCACUAGGCAUUCACAAUCAAAAAAUAUGUGUUGUCCUUUUGUGUCACUCACAGUGGUGUCAGAAAAUGGCAGAUAUGUCCGUUUUCUCAUUAUGUUAUUAGUAUAUUGAUGUUAUUCUCUUUAGUGUGAAUGUACAUAUCUUGGAUGUUUCAUCAAUGCUUUUACAAUGAAGCCUUCACUGGCUGAUAUUUUCAUGUGCGCAUGUUAUGAGUAAGUGCACAUUCAAGUGAGCAGUUGCUUAUAAAGAAAGUUAUGAUAUGAUACCAAAUAUUGGUGAAAUUGAUUUUGCAUAUUGCAUUAUGUAACAACUGCAUUUUUAUUACAUAUUUUUGAAAUAAAUAUUUUACCCAAACUGAUUAUCUUUGUGGAAUAAAUAGGCUACAUUAAAACUGACACUGAAAUUAUAGCAGCAGGCCUUCUUGGCAUUUGUAACUUUCUUGAUUUGAAUUCCCGUGAAAUAUGUUUUCAGCAUCAGUUCAUUGGAAUAUGCUGACAAAAAGCAGUCGUAUAAUCAACAAUCAUAUAUGGGGAUUUCAGAAUAUUCAAAAGGUAAAGAUAGGACAUGAAAGUAUAGUGAAAGCAUUAAUGUGUUAAUUACAGGAUGACAAAUACCAAUUAUUUAAAAUGUUGAGCAAUCUCUCGACUAUGUUCUCUUGUAUAAUCAUUAAGUUGUUUUGUUGCCUCCCAAAGCCCAAAAAUAAAUCCUCAAAUGUCUUGUUUUGUCCACAGCCCACAUUAUUCAUAAAGGAGUAAAUAACACACACAUUUUUGCACUUGAGAAGCUUAUACCAGAUUUUUUUUUCUUCUUGAAAAGUUACACAAACCAAUUGUGAAUCAAAAUAAGUAGAUGAGAAGUAAUUGAUUUACUGUUGCAGCUCUAGUUAAUAACACAAAUGUCC
ensembl:lncRNA